UGGGGAAUAUUGCGCAAUGGGGGAAACCCUGACGCAGCAACGCCGCGUGAAGGAUGAAGGUUUUCGGAUUGUAAACUUCUUUAGUCGGGGACGAACAAAUGACGGUACCCGAAGAAUAAGCCACGGCUAACUACGUGCCAGCAGCCGCGGUAAUACGUAGGUGGCAAGCGUUGUCCGGAAUUACUGGGUGUAAAGGGCGUGUAGGCGGGAUCUUAAGUCAGAUGUGAAAUUCCAGGGCUCAACCCUGGCGCUGCAUCUGAAACUGAGGUUCUUGAGUGCUGGAGAGGAAAGCGGAAUUCCUAGUGUAGCGGUGAAAUGCGUAGAUAUUAGGAGGAACACCAGUGGCGAAGGCGGCUUUCUGGACAGUAACUGACGCUGAGGCGCGAAAGCGUGGGGAGCAAACAGG
rnacentral:rRNA from 2 species